UGAAGCACUUUUCAGAAAUUAUUUCAGGGAUUUCACAAUAAUCCUUAUGUUUUUAUCCCAUUUCACAGAGGACACAACUGAGAUUCAAGUAAGUCAGAUAACAUGCGUAACGCCUAAAGACACUGGGAAGUGUCCGAGAUAGAACCACAUCCAGACGAACAGGCUCCAGACCUGGAGAUUCCACCGGCAUCCAGAUACUGUUUUCUCAAGAACUCCAACUACGGGAAUUUUGAGAACUUGGGAGCUUAAGCGAAGCUUCUUUGGGAUCACUCUGGCUAAGACUGUGUAAGGAGAGCAGGUGGAGGUGGAACACCCACUGCUUCCGUGACCGGCAUUUUUCUACCUACAGACCUCAAGGAGAGCAACCAGCAACCAGGAGACCAACCAGUGUCCAUCGAGGACAGGCAAGAACUGGUCUGGGAAGAGGAGAAAAACGGGAUUUUGCCAAAGGAUGACUUACACUGCAAGAUUCCCGAAUGGAAGAGCCAGCGAACCCCUCUGCCAAUCCUUUUCACAUACACACUGGAGGAGGAAAAGGAAGACCAAGAGGAAGAGGAAGAAGAAGAAGAAGAAGAAGAGAAACGUUGAUAUGGGUCAAAGCCAAGGAAACA